AGGAUUCCCCUAGUAACUGCGAGUGAAGCGGGAAAAGCUCAAAUUUAAAAUCUGGCAGUCUCUGGCUGUCCGAGUUGUAAUCUAGAGAAGUAAUGCCCGUGCUGGACCGUGUAUAAGUCUCCUGGGAUGGGGCGUCAUAGAGGGUGAGAAUCCCGUCUUUGACACGGACUACCAGUGCAUUGUGGUAUGCUCUCAAAGAGUCGAGUUGUUUGGGAAUGCAGCUCAAAAUGGGUGGUAAAUUCCAUCUAAAGCUAAAUAUUGGCGAGAGACCGAUAGCGAACAAGUACCGUGAGGGAAAGAUGAAAAGAACUUUGGAAAGAGAGUUAAACAGUACGUGAAAUUGCUGAAAGGGAAACGCUUGAAGUCAGUCGCGUUGGCCGGGAAUCAGCCUUGCUUUUGCAUGGUGUACUUUCUGGUUGACGGGUCAGCAUCAAUUUUGACCGCUGGAAAAAGGCCUGGGGAAUGUGGCAGCUUCGGCUGUGUUAUAGCCCCUAGUCACAUACAGUGGUUGGGAUUGAGGAACUCAGCACGCCGCAAGGCCGGGUUUCGACCACGUUCGUGCUUAGGAUGCUGGCAUAAUGGCUUUAAGCGACCCGUCUUGAAACACGGACCAAGGAGUCUAACAUGCCUGCGAGUAUUUGGGUGGAAAACCCAAGUGCGUAAUGAAAGUGAAAGUUGAGAUCCCUGUCGUGGGGAGCAUCGACGCCCGGACCAGAACUUUUGGGAUGGAUCCGCGGUGGAGCAUGUAUGUUGGGACCCGAAAGAUGGUGAACUAUGCCUGAAUAGGGUGAAGCCAGAGGAAACUCUGGUGGAGGCUCGUAGCGAUUCUGACGUGCAAAUCGAUCGUCAAAUUUGGGUAUAGGGGCGAAA
rnacentral:rRNA from 1 species